CUAUCACAUGAGGACUUCACCCGUCGGGUGGAAGAUUUUAAGGAUUCUAUGUCAGACGUGAGGAGGAGUUUCACUGCUAUCAUCAUCAUCUGAUUCAGAACAGGAUCUGGAUCUUGGAGACAUCCUGGGCCUUGGCUGGUGGCGCAGUGGUUAAGAAUCCGCCUGCCAGUACAGGGGACACAAGUUUGAUCCUGAGUCUGGGAAGAUCCCACAUGCCAGGGAGUAACUAAGCCUGUGCGCCACAACUACUGCGUCUGCACUCUAGAGCACUCGUGCCACAACUACUGAUGCCCAUGCACACUGGAGCCUGUGCUCAACAAGAGAAGCCACAACGAGAAGCCCGCACACCACAAAGAAGAGAAGCCUCCAAUCGCCGCAACUAGGUAAAGCCCAUGUGCAGCAACAAAGACCCAAAGCAGCCAAUAAAUAAAUAAAUAAAUAAAUAAAUAAAUAAAUACAGCCAUCCUCGUAGGUGAGAUAUAGUAUGUCACUGUGGGUUUGAUUUGCAUUUUCCUAAUGACUAAUGAUAUUAAGUAUCUUUUCAUGUGCUUGUUGUCCAUUUGUAUAUCUUCUUUGGAGAAAUGUGUAUUCAAGUGCUUUGCCCAUUUUUUAAAUUGAGUUGUCUUUUUGUUAUUUUUAUUGCUCGUGCUUUUGGUGUCAAAUAUAAGAAUCCACUGAUGAACCUAAGGUCAUGAAGAUUUACCCCUAUGUUGUCCUCUGAGAGUUUCAUGGUUUUAGCUUUUAUAUUUAGGUCAUUGACCCAUUUUGAGUUAAUAUUUGCAAAUGAUGUGAGGUAGGGUCCAACCUUGCUCUUUUGCAUGUGGAAAUCCAAGUGUCUCAGCACCAUUUAUUGAAGAGACUAUUCUUUCUCCAUGGAAUGGACUUUGUACUCUUAUCUAAAAUCUAAUGGCCAUAGAUGUAUGGGUUUAUUUCUGGACUCAAUUCUAUUCCACUGGUCUCUAUGUCUACCCUUAUGCCAGUACCACACUAUUUUGAUGACUGCAGCUUUGUAGUAAAUUUUGAAAUCAGGACAUAUGAGUCUUCCAACUUUGUCUUCCUUCCUCAAGAUUGUUUUGGCUAUUUGGAACACCUUGCAAUUCCAUAUGAAUUUGGACCCUGACUUUUCCAUUACUGCAAAAAGGCUACUGGAAUUUAACAGGGAUUGCACUGAACUCAUAGCUCACUUUGAGUAGUAUUGACAUCUUAAUAUUAAGCCUUCCAAUCCAUGAAUAUAGAAUCUUUCCACUUAUUUAGUUUAGGUUUUCUUUAA